rnacentral:rRNA from 1 species
GAUGAACGCUAGCUACAGGCUUAACACAUGCAAGUCGAGGGGCAGCAUGGUCUUAGCUUGCUAAGGCUGAUGGCGACCGGCGCACGGGUGAGUAACACGUAUCCAACCUGCCGUCUACUCUUGGACAGCCUUCUGAAAGGAAGAUUAAUACAAGAUGGCAUCAUGAGUCCGCAUGUUCACAUGAUUAAAGGUAUUCCGGUAGACGAUGGGGAUGCGUUCCAUUAGAUAGUAGGCGGGGUAACGGCCCACCUAGUCUUCGAUGGAUAGGGGUUCUGAGAGGAAGGUCCCCCACAUUGGAACUGAGACACGGUCCAAACUCCUACGGGAGGCAGCAGUGAGGAAUAUUGGUCAAUGGGCGAGAGCCUGAACCAGCCAAGUAGCGUGAAGGAUGACUGCCCUAUGGGUUGUAAACUUCUUUUAUAAAGGAAUAAAGUCGGGUAUGGAUACCCGUUUGCAUGUACUUUAUGAAUA